UAAGGAAUAUUGGUCAAUGGACGCAAGUCUGAACCAGCCAUGCCGCGUGAAGGAUGAAGGUCCUCUGGAUUGUAAACUUCUUUUAUCUGGGACGAAAACGGGAUUUUUAUCUCAAUUGACGGUACCAGAGGAAUAAGCACCGGCUAACUCCGUGCCAGCAGCCGCGGUAAUACGGAGGGUGCGAGCGUUAUCCGGAUUUACUGGGUUUAAAGGGUGCGUAGGUGGGCUUAUAAGUCAGUGGUGAAAUCUCCGAGCUUAACUUGGAAACGGCCGUUGAUACUAUAGGUCUUGAAUUAUCUGGAGNUAAGCGGAAUAUGUCAUGUAGCGGUGAAAUGCUUAGAUAUGACAUAGAACACCAAUUGCGAAGGCAGCUUACUACAUAUAAAUUGACGCUGAGGCACGAAAGCGUGGGGAUCAGA
rnacentral:rRNA from 1 species